UACGUAGGGGGCAAGCGUUGUCCGGAAUUAUUGGGCGUAAAGCGCGCGCAGGCGGCUUUGUAAGUUGGAUGUUUAAGCUCGGGGCUCAACUCCGAUUCGCAUCCAAAACUGCGAGGCUUGAGUGCAGAAGAGGAAAGUGGAAUUCCACGUGUAGCGGUGAAAUGCGUAGAGAUGUGGAGGAAAACCAGUGGCGAAGGCGACUUUCUGGGCAGUAACUGACGCUGAGGCGCGAAAGCGUGGGGAGCAAACAGG
rnacentral:rRNA from 1 species